rnacentral:lncRNA from 13 species
AGUGAGUAAAGACAACAGAGGAAACAUAAUGAGUGAGUAAAGAGAACAGAGGAAACAUAAUGAGUGAGUAAAGAGAACAGAGGAAACAUAAUGAGUGAGUAAAGAGGACAGAGGAAACAUAAUGAGUGAGUAAAGAGAACAGAGGAAACAUAAUGAGUGAGUAAAGAGGACAGUGAAACAUGAGUGAGUAAAGAGGACAGUGAAACAUAAUGAGUGAGUAAAGAGAACAGUGGAAACAUAAUGAGUGAGUAAAGACAACAGAGGAAACAUAAUGAGUGAGUAAAGAGGACAGUGAAACAUAAUGAGUGAGUAAAGAGAACAGAGGAAACAUAAUGAGUGAGUAAAGACAACAGUGGAAACAUAAUGAGUGAGUAAAGAGAACAGAGGAAACAUAAUGAGUGAGUAAAGAGAACAGAGGAAACAUAAUGAGUGAGUAAAGAGAACAGAGGAAACAUAAUGAGUGAGUAAAGACAACAGAGGAAACAUAAUGAGUGAGUAAAGUGGACAGUGAAACAUAAUGAGUGAGUAAAGAGAACAGUGGAAACAUAAUGAGUGAGUAAAGACAACAGAGNNNNNNNNNNUCAGAUUACAUCAUAUCACACUGUAGAGUCAGAUUACAUCAUAUCACACUGUAGGGUCAGAUUACAUCACACUGUAGAGUCAGAAUACAUCACACUGUAGGGUCAGAU